AACGAACGCUGGCGGCAUGCCUAACACAUGCAAGUCGAACGAGACCUUCGGGUCUAGUGGCGCACGGGUGCGUAACGCGUGGGAACCUGCCCUUAGGUUCGGAAUAACUCCCCGAAAGGGGUGCUAAUACCGGAUAAUGUCUUCGGACCAAAGAUUUAUCGCCUUUGGAUGGGCCCGCGUUGGAUUAGCUAGUUGGUAGGGUAAAAGCCUACCAAGGCGACGAUCCAUAGCUGGUCUGAGAGGAUGAUCAGCCACACUGGGACUGAGACACGGCCCAGACUCCUACGGGAGGCAGCAGUGGGGAAUAUUGGACGAUGGGCGAAAGCCUGAUCCAGCAAUGCCGCGUGAGUGAUGAAGGCCUUAGUGUUGUAAAGCUCUUUUACCCGGGAUGAUAAUGACAGUACCGGGAGAAUAAGCACCGGCUAACUCCGUG
rnacentral:rRNA from 1 species